UGGGGAAUUUUGGACAAUGGGCGAAAGCCUGAUCCAGCAAUGCCGCGUGUGUGAAGAAGGCCUUCGGGUUGUAAAGCACUUUUGUCCGGAAAGAAAUCCUUGGCUCUAAUACAGUCGGGGGAUGACGGUACCGGAAGAAUAAGCACCGGCUAACUACGUGCCAGCAGCCGCGGUAAUACGUAGGGUGCAAGCGUUAAUCGGAAUUACUGGGCGUAAAGCGUGCGCAGGCGGUUUGCUAAGACCGAUGUGAAAUCCCCGGGCUCAACCUGGGAACUGCAUUGGUGACUGGCAGGCUAGAGUAUGGCAGAGGGGGGUAGAAUUCCACGUGUAGCAGUGAAAUGCGUAGAGAUGUGGAGGAAUACCGAUGGCGAAGGCAGCCCCCUGGGCCAAUACUGACGCUCAUGCACGAAAGCGUGGGGGAGCAAACAGGAUUAGAUACCCUGGUAGUCCACGCCUUAAACGAUGUCAACUAGUUGUUGGGGAUUCAUUUCCUUAGUAACGUAGCUAACGCGUGAAGUUGACCGCCUGGGGAGUACGGUCGCGAG
rnacentral:rRNA from 1 species